rnacentral:misc_RNA from 1 species
CAAGAUAAAUUGCAGGUGAUGAAGAGUGAGAACGGUGGAAAAGAUUGGGAUAAUGACGGUGAUGGCCCCGACUUGCCACUAAUGGAUGAAGGAAGACAGCCCUUAUCAAGGAAAAUGCCACUUCCGUCUAGCCAAAUCAACCCUUACAGAAUGAUUAUCAUGGUCCGUCUAGUGGUUGUUUGUUUCUUCUUCCACUACCGACUAUUACAUCCAGUGAACGAUGCAUUUGGCUUGUGGCUUGUAUCUGUUAUAUGCGAAGUCUGGUUUGCAGUUUCGUGGAUUCUCGACCAGUUUCCAAAGUGGCUCCCAAUUGAAAGGGAAACUUAUCUCGACAGACUGUCUUUAAGGUAUGAGAAGGAAGGCCAGCCUUCACGACUGGCUCCGGUCGACUUUUUCGUGAGUACAGUCGACCCACUGAAGGAACCCCCUUUGGUCACAGCGAACACUGUACUUUCCAUUCUAGCGGUGGAUUAUCCAGUUGACAAAGUUUCUUGCUACGUGUCUGAUGACGGUGCUGCAAUGCUGACAUUCGAAGCUUUAUCAGAAACAUCGGAAUUCGCAAAGAAAUGGGUCCCUUUCUGCAAGAAAUUCAAUAUUGAGCCGCGGGCACCAGAGUUCUAUUUCCAACAAAAGAUAGAUUAUCUGAAGGAUAAGAUCUUAGCUUCAUUUGUUAAGGAAAGAAGAGCUAUGAAGAGAGAGUAUGAAGAGUUCAAGGUCCGAAUCAACGCUUUAGUAUCAAAAGCCUUGAAGGUUCCAGAAGAAGGUUGGACAAUGCAAGAU